rnacentral:rRNA from 1 species
UACGUAGGGGGCAAGCGUUGUCCGGAUUUAUUGGGCGUAAAGAGCGUGUAGGCGGCUUUGUAGGUCUCGCGUCAAAACCUGAGGCUCAACCUCAGUUCGCGUGGGAAACCACCUAGCUAGAGUCCGGAAGAGGAGAACGGAAUUCCCAGUGUAGCGGUGAAAUGCGCAGAUAUCAGGAGGAACACCGGUGGCGAAGGCGGGUCUCUGGGCCGAUACUGACGCUGAGGAGCGAAAGCGUGGGGAGCGAACAGG